UCAGUGGCGGCUCUCCGCCCCUUCAGUCCUUCGGACUUCUCGUUGACGUCUGAAUGAAAAUUGGCUGGUUGACCGCCGAAAAAGCGGGAAAACAUGGCUUCGGCUUUGCGGCAGUUGGUCAAUAAUGUUCACAAACUUUCGGUUCAAGGUCAGAUGACGCAGCUCUGUGAACUCAUCAACAAGAGUGGGGAAAUUGCUGGCCGAAAAAGCUGUCUCAUCUGGACGCAGUGCAGGGGGCCUUGGACAUUCAGGCGCAUUCCUUAGGGGUUUUGGCAGUGCUGUGAGUGCUCCUAGGACCAAGAGGCAGGCCAUUUAGAGGGAUUAACAUACUCAGGCAGGCAAUAGACAAAAUGCAGAUGAAUUCAAAUCAUCUUACCUCACUUCAUGCAGAUCUGUGUCGGGCUAUAACUACUCCAGCCAUGGCCGUCAGUCGCAUUAUGCUAGCACAUUCUGGUAUCCCUGAUUUUGGAUGGAAAGUACAGCAGCUUCCCAAAUAUAGAUCCCAGGUUGUGGGGCGAUUUAUUAAGGCGAAUUGACAAAUAAUUUUGCAUCGAAAAUUUUGUUUUAAUGGGAAGCAGUGCCUACUGUGAACUUGCACGGGCGUACACCACAAACGGCCCCGUGGAGCUGCGCAAAGUGGUGACGAGGCAUGCAGAGAUGUUCAUGAAGGACAGCAACAUGGGUCUGGUGACAUGGUGUCUCUCCUUCCUCUUACAAGAAGAACAUCCAGAGUCUAACCAAGACAUUUUCAAUGCUGUCUUUAUAGGACAUCUCAAGUACAGUUGUCCACUCCCCAACAAGCGUGAAAGUACGUCUUACACAUGACAGAAGAUGGUUAAGAUUUAUGCCAGUAUCAACCAGAAAAAUAGUUAUGGUCAAUUUCUGUGACAACCCAGAGAAAUACAGUAUCCCUCAAUGCUCCGCAGAAUUGACCAAGAGAUACUGAAGGGUAUAGAACUGGAUGACAGGCUAAAGACCGUGGAUCAAGAGAUCACAGUAAACCCACAGUUUAUACAGAAGAGUACGGGAUCGCAGGAUGACGAUGUUGGAAGCAAGACGUCCAGCUUCCCCUGAAGUCUGUGGCAGAAUUCGGUGCCUCAAAUCAGGUUCUUGUGAGAAGUUUAUUCCAAAUAUUAAAAAAAAAAAAAAAAAAA